GAGAGCCGAAUGCGCUGAAAGGUGCACGUUCGGUUCGGAGGGGGGCCUAGCGAUGUUCUCUCCGAGACAUUGCGGGCCUACCCUAC
rfam:Novosphingobium aromaticivorans DSM 12444 plasmid pNL1, complete sequence.